rnacentral:rRNA from 1 species
UACCUGCAGCUCGAGUGGUAACCGUUAUUAUUGGGCCUAAAGCGUCCGUAGCCGGUUUGGUAAAUAUCUGGGUAAAUCGUGAGGCUUAACUUCACGAAUUUCGGAUAGACUGCCAGACUUGGGAUCGGGGGAGGUCAGAGGUACUCCAGGGGUAGCGGUGAAAUGUUGUAAUCCUUGGAGGACCACCGGUAGCGAAGGCGUCUGACUAGAACGAGUCCGACGGUGAGGGACGAAGCCCUGGGGCGCAAACCGGAUUAGAUACCCGGGUAGUCCAGGGUGUAAACGAUGUGGGCUUUGUAUUGGAGGUCCCACGUGGGCGUCCAGUGCAGAAGAGAAGUUGUUAGGCCCACCGCCUGGGAAGUACGGUCGCAAGGCUGAAACUUAAAGGAAUUGGCGGGGGAGCACAGCAACGGGAGGAGCGUGCGGUUU